rnacentral:rRNA from 1 species
UACGAAGGGGGCUAGCGUUGUUCGGAAUUACUGGGCGUAAAGCGUGCGCAGGCGGCCAUCCAAGUCAGUGGUGAAAGCCCGGAGCUCAACUCCGGAAUUGCCAUUGAAACUGUUUGGCUCGAGUACGAGAGAGGUGAGUGGAAUUCCCAGUGUAGAGGUGAAAUUCGUAGAUAUUGGGAAGAACACCGGUGGCGAAGGCGGCUCACUGGCUCGUAAACUGACGCUCAUGCACGACAGCGUGGGGAUCAAACAGG